rnacentral:rRNA from 2 species
UAACAACUUUCAGCAGUGGAUGUCUAGGCUCGCACAUCGAUGAAGAACGCUGCGAACUGCGAUACGUAAUGCGAAUUGCAGGAUUCAGUGAGUCAUCGAAAUUUUGAACGCAUAUUGCACUUCCGGG